rnacentral:rRNA from 1 species
GACGAACGCUGGCGGCGUGCCUAAUACAUGCAAGUAGGACGCAGUUGCGAACGGUUGAGUAACGCGUAGGUAACUGCCUAUUAGAGGGGGAUAACUAUUGGAAACGAUAGCUAAUACCGCAUACUAGUAGAUGGACCUGCGUUGUAUUAGCUAGUAGGUCGGGUAAUGGCCUACCUAGGCGCCGAUACAUAGCCGACCGUAGAGGGUGAGCGGCAACACUGCGGCUGAGACACGGCCCAGACUCCGACGGGAGGCGGCAGUAGGGAAUCUUCGGCAAUGAGGGGAACCCUGACCGAGCAACGCCGCGUGAGUGAAGAAGGUUUUCGGAUCGUAAAGCUCUGUUGUUAAGGAAGCGGUACUUAACCAGAAAGGGACGGCUAACUACGUGCCAGCAGCCGCGGUAAUAC